rnacentral:rRNA from 1 species
CACGUAGGGUCCGAGCGUUGUCCGGAAUUACUGGGCGUAAAGCGCGCGCAGGCGGUCCGACGCAUCGGCGGUGAAAGCCCCCCGCUUAACGGGGGAGGGUCCGUCGAGAUGGUCGGGCUGGAGGCAGGGAGAGGGCGGUGGAAUUCCGGGUGUAGUGGUGAAAUGCGUAGAGAUCCGGAGGAACACCAGUGGCGAAGGCGGCCGCCUGGACCUGACCUGACGCUGAGGCGCGAAGGCGCGGGGAGCGAACGGG